rnacentral:lncRNA from 1 species
UCCUUUUAAUUAAAAAUCCUUUGCUCUUACAAUAUUCGGUAGUGAGCGAUAAUAUUACAGAGUAAAAGGUGAAAGAUUGUUAGUCCAUACUAUGCCUAUGCAGAAAAGCAGAAGAAACCCGGAAUCAUCUAUUCUUCGUAUGUCCAUAGUUUUCACAGAUUUGAAAGUUUCUUACAUAUAGACAGAUUUCUUGGUCAGAACUACUCGAAUGACUGGAAAAGAUAUGCGUUCAGAACACAUCAAUGGGACAAACAACUACCUUUCUGUUCAGAUAUGCGUUCCGAUCUGCCAUCUAUCAUAUUUGGAGAGGAUGAAACCGACGCACGGCGAGAAAUCUCUGCCAAAAGCUGUUCAAAUCAGGUUCAUAGAUACGAAUAUCUAAUCGCCCAACUUCAAUCCACUAACCAGGAAAUAGACGUAUCAGGACAGGAUGGCGAAGUGGCUUGAAUACUCUUCGACAACAACAUCAACAACUUCAGCAGAUGAGUGGAAUGUCGAAGAGUUUUUUUUUGUUUUCAAAAAUUGAAAGGGGAUAAAAACAAAUAAGUAUUAUUGUUUGUGGUUUGAUAAUUUACCAUUCAAUUCAAAAAAAGUUAAAGAGUAAC